UGGCUGGCUCCAGUAAAGCUUCCUUUACGAUUACCAUGGCAGGAUAUUUGUGGGAAUACUCGUGUGUUGGAUCAGUGGUGAUGUGUGCAUGCCUGAAAGAGUCGGUGUGUUUUAAAACAUGCAAUGCCCAUUUUAUUCUUAGUGGUGAUGAAAAUAUGAGCUGCAGAAAUGGUAACAAAUGGGAAAUAGUACGGGAAAAAGGCAAUUUGCAAACAGCUUUGAUACUGCACUAAAGAGGAAUGAAGAAUAACAGCUUGAGGACCCCAGUGAGAGCGGGGGCUUGUAGCACACACUGUUCUCAUGGGUAUCGAGCUCUGACUCCCUCCUGUUGCAGCAAAGACAAACCAGCAGCAUGAUCACAGCCUUUGGGGACAGCUCUGCUCAAGCCAGAGGGCCACCAGUCUUGGCAGGAGCACAAGCCAGUUACACAGUGCUGUAGCUCUGCCAUGGAUGCAACAAAUCCCAGGGAAGGAGGGGAGAGGCAGAAGAACAGGUGGAACUCCAAGACAGUGAAAUGAGAGUGCCACAGGGAACUGCAGCGCGUAUGACUGCCAGAAGCCAAGUCUGUAGCACUGCUUGGAAAGCAGAAGACCAGUGUGAGGUGUCUGAAUUACUUGGAGAUACUAAUCUACUUUCAGAUGCUAUAUUUCUUGGGCACUCAUCUCUUCUACGAGGGAAACUUGCUGCAAGCAACCUGUUGGAUAUAUUCAGUAAUGAUGGCACUUCCAGGAAAUUGCCAUGUCCUGCAUCAAAGGAUGGAGUGCAGUAUGUGGGCCUCUCCUUUAUUUUGAGAAAGGUGCAGCAUGUCAAAAGUGGGCAGCUCUGCUACAGAGCAUCCCUCUCACUGGAGUACAGCACAGCUGAGUCCUUUGUGCUUGUUUGAUAGAAAUCAUGGAUGGUCUCAGACUAAAUGAGACUGUGAGUGGCAGUGCAACAGCAAGAGAAGGAAUGUUAAUGACCAGAACAUGUGGGGACUCAGGGAGAAACACAGAUUUCAACUUCUAUUCCUUGUCAUACAGCUGUGUGGUUCUCCUUGUACCAUGCUCCAUUAUAUACAGAAUCUUAAUGAUCACUGAAGUUUGAAUGACCAAAAAGUAGUUAUAUUUUAUUUUCAAAUACAUUUAACUCAAAGGACAAACCCAACAGCUUCUGAAUUCUAGUGACAGCAUUACAAGAAGGUCCUGUGUGAACAGUGAUGUGGGCAGGAAGGUGUGACUAAAGACUUAAAGUCUGAGGGUUUUGUUCUCCAAAAGCAAAACAAAGGACUGUACACUCAAAGUACAAGGAAGUCAGUGAAGCUGAAACCACGGGGGAUGAAGUGUCCACUCUUACAGCACUUUCAGAUUUAGAGGACAGAGCAAUUUAGUAAGCCCCAGAGAGGAGAAGAUGGAAUCAUAGACGAAUUCUUGCAGAUUACGAAUCAUGCCUGACUGACUGCAGGAGCAAGAGAAGUAAAACACACGGCCCCAAAACACUGUCAAAGCUGACAUACUUUUGAGAAGUGACAUAAAAUCCCACAGAAAGAGGCAAGGGUAUGUGGCUUGGGGGCAUCAACUGUUCUUUCAGAAUAUUGGAAAUGUGGAGAAAAGUCUAGAGACCUCAAUUAACUUACUGAAGCAUUUGAUAACUUUUAUUCUGGGGGAGGAUACAUGCAUCUCAUUUUCUGUUGCUAGAACAUUCAUUAGUCAUUUGUCAGUUUAAAAAGCAAAUUAUGCAGAAGUAGUCCAAGCAUUUUUUCCUCUCCCUUAGCUUGUGUGCUGGGUAAAGAAUCCUGGAGUGAAAAUGAGACUGUCAUAAAUUCUGAUUUAACAAAACAUAGGAGUCUUCAUCAAAGAGUGUGAGAUUGAAGAGAAUCUUUUAUUUGUUUCCAAUAGAGAAUCUCACUGGGGUAGUUGUCUCCUCAGUCACUACAUCUUAUACUGUAACAACAGGAAUUACUUUCCAGGCUGCAACACCAUGGCAGAUUUUGACCAGAAUUUGGAGAGAGACAAAUAAUUUGACUGAUCACGUUCCCAAUAAAAUCUUCCAUAUAAUUUCUAUUACUUCAGAAAAAGUAAAAUCACUCUUAAGGCAUCUCUAGUAGCAUUUAAAGAAUUUAUUUCACACCUAGUUCUAUACCAUUUAAUUCUGUUGAAUCCAGUGGGGCAAUAUAUGGUUUUCAGUCUUAAAAAUAAAAACAGAAUUAGGCCAAUUUGUCUUUUUAAAAUGAAUUAUUCAUUGCCUAAGCCUAGGGACUUACCAUAGUUGGGGCCCACACGCACUGCUGCUAAAGCCACAGCAGAGAGGCAGUGAUUAUGUGUUAGGCCUUUAGGUCCAUGGCAUCAGUAGAUUAUCAAUGUUUCCACCUCCAGUGCUGGCAGACAGACCUUCAUCUCUGGAAAGCACAGCUGCACUUAUCCACAUUAUUUUCAAAAUUGAUUUCAAAGGAUUCUGCAAAACAUAAUCUGAACUCACAUUUAAUAAGACACAAAAACAAAUUAAAGCAACUAUUGAAGAAGCGUAUCUGUCUCUGUAGUUAAAGCCUACUAAAUUAAAUUUUAAAGAAUUCGCUCAGACUGGAAAUCAUAUCACUGUGUGUGGGCACAGAAGAAGGCUCAGUAAAUUCUGGCUCAGUGGGUGAGUCAGCAUGAGUCAUCAGCAGACAUACCAUCCUAUGGUUAUAUGAAUCCACAAGGUACAUUUAGAAACAUGUCACAGUAACAAAAUAACGCCAUCCUCCUGCUUUUUGUCUAGAUGACAACAAUGACAGCCCCGACUUUCCUAAAAUAUUGUAGGAGUUCUCAGCUCAACAUGUGGGUUUAGGGAAAAAAAACCCCUCUGUUUUGCUAUUUUCAUUAAGCGAAGCUAACACAGAUAUGAUAAGCUGGUAGGAAAGCCUUAGGUUGUAAAUAAAAUCAUUUAGGUACUUGCAUUACACUGACAAACAACUGAGCAACAUCUGCUUAUCUGGUGGAUUUCUCAUCACUUGAUUGAAACACAAGGAGGUUUUUUUUGCUCUUCCAAUUUCAAUUGUUUCCAUUGCUCAGAAUUCCAAGUGGGUAAUAAGAUGCUAUGACAAAUGAAGUUAUGUAGCUGACAUCACCAUCUGUGUAAUAAGCAAAAUCGUGUCAAUUUUGUUCUGAAGGAGUUUUUAAUUGUGGCAUUUACUGAAAGACUCUGAAUGCAAACUAGAUGAGCACUGGUUAGGCUGAAACUAUUUCUGUUUUCUUCUCUUCUACUUUUCUUAAUUUCCAGGGAAAAGUUAAAUUGUAUACUCUAUAUUAAAUUUUCCUCUGAAACACAUUUCAUUUUCUUCCAGCCUGUCACUUCAUAUAGGACAUGUAAUUACCCAAAAUACCCCAACUUGUACAGCAAUACAGGAAAAGCACAUUUCACUCCUUCUCAUAUUAAUUUUUGGAGCUUUAAUAUAUAGAUUUCUUUAAUUUUGCUAAAGAUUAAGGAAAUUUCACCAGUCAUAUGUCUGCAUUUAGUGUGUAGUGAAUGGACUAGGAUUGCUCAUGGGUAUAUCUAUACACAGCUAUUUGCCUGACCACCUCACAGCCCAGUCUGGAAACCCAAUUCCCUGCCACGAUUAGUCAUCCACUUGGAUCCCACUUACUGCAGUGAUGCCACACAGAUGCAGCCAGAUUCACAUCAGCUAAUCUAGUUACAAAACAGAGGCCCUGGUUCUAUCAGAUAUGUUAAAAUCUGUGUAAAUAAAAAUGGCUUAACUUCU